UACGGGGGAGCAAGCGUUGUUCGGAUUUACUGGGCGUAAAGGGCGCGUAGGCGGUCAGCACAAGUCAGUUGUGAAAUCUCCGGGCUUAACUCGGAAAGGUCAACUGAUACUGUGCGGCUAGAGUGCAGAAGGGGCAACUGGAAUUCUCGGUGUAGCGGUGAAAUGCGUAGAUAUCGAGAGGAACACCUGCGGCGAAGGCGGGUUGCUGGGCUGACACUGACGCUGAUGCGCGAAAGCCAGGGGAGCGAACGGG
rnacentral:rRNA from 1 species